UACGUAGGCAGCGAGCGUUGUUCGGAGUUACUGGGCGUAAAGGGUGUGUAGGCGGUUUCUAAGUUUGGUGUGAAAUCUCCCGGCUCAACCGGGAGGUGGCGCCGAAAACUGGGAGACAUAGAGUGCGGGAUGGGAGAGUAGAAUUCCUGGUGUAGCGGUGAAAUGCGUAGAUAUCAGGAGGAACACCUGUGGUGUGAGACGGCUCUCUGGACCGCAACUGACGCUGAUGCGCGAAAGCUAGGGGAGCAAACAGG
rnacentral:rRNA from 1 species